rnacentral:rRNA from 1 species
GAUGAACGCUAGCGGUAGGCUUAACACAUGCAAGUCGAGGGGUAACAGGGUAGCAAUACUGCUGACGACCGGCGCACGGGUGAGUAACGCGUAUGCAAUCUGCCUUUAACUGGAGAACAGCUUCGAGAAAUCGGAAUUAAUACUCCAUAAUAUUAACGAAUCGCAUGGUUUGUUAAUUAAAGCUCCGGCGGUUAAAGAUGAGCAUGCGUGACAUUAGUUUGUUGGUAAGGUAACGGCUUACCAAGACUACGAUGUCUAGGGGGUCUGAGAGGAUGGUCCCCCACACUGGUACUGAGACACGGACCAGACUCCUACGGGAGGCAGCAGUGAGGAAUAUUGGUCAAUGGGCGCAAGCCUGAACCAGCCAUACCGCGUGAAGGAUGAAGGCUCUAGUAGUUGUAAACUUCUUUUAUAUGGGAAGAAACCUACUCUCGUGAGAGUAGUUGACGGUACCAUAAGAAUAAGCACCGGCUAACUCCGUGCCAGCAGCCGCGGU